rnacentral:rRNA from 1 species
GGGUUGUGAGGUUAAGCGACUAAGCGUACACGGUGGAUGCCCUGGCAGUCAGAGGCGAUGAAGGGCGUGCUAAUCUGCGAUAAGCGCCGGUAAGGUGAUAUGAACCGUUAUAACCGGCGAUACCCGAAUGGGGAAACCCAGUGUGACUCGUCACACUAUCAUUAACUGAAUCCAUAGGUUAAUGAGGCGAACCGGGGGAACUGAAACAUCUAAGUACCCCGAGGAAAAGAAAUCAACCGAGAUUCCCCCAGUAGCGGCGAGCGAACGGGGAGGAGCCCAGAGCCUGAAUCAGCAUGUGUGUUAGUGGAAGCGUCUGGAAAGGCGCGCGAUACAGGGUGACAGCCCCGUACACAAAAGCGCAUGUGCUGUGAGCUCGAUGAGUAGGGCGGGACACGUGGUAUCCUGUCUGAAUAUGGGGGGACCAUCCUCCAAGGCUAAAUACUCCUGACUGACCGAUAGUGAACCAGUACCGUGAGGGAAAGGCGAAAAGAACCCCGGCGAGGGGAGUGAAAAAGAACCUGAAACCGUGUACGUACAAGCAGUGGGAGCACCCUUUUGGGUGUGACUGCGUACCUUUUGUAUAAUGGGUCAGCGACUUAUAUUCUGUAGCAAGGUUAACCGAAUAGGGGAGCCGGAGGGAAACCGAGUCUUAACCGGGCGUUAAGUUGCAGGGUAUAGACCCGAAACCCGGUGAUCUAGCCAUGGGCAGGUUGAAGGUUGGGUAACACUAACUGGAGGACCGAACCGACUAAUGUUGAAAAAUUAGCGGAUGACCUGUGGCUGGGGGUGAAAGGCCAAUCAAACCGGGAGAUAGCUGGUUCUCCCCGAAAGCUAUUUAGGUAGCGCCUCGUGAAUUCAUCUCCGGGGGUAGAGCACUGUUUCGGCUAGGGGGCCAUCCCGGCUUACCAACCCGAUGCAAACUGCGAAUACCGGAGAAUGUUAUCACGGGAGACACACGGCGGGUGCUAACGUCCGUCGUGAAGAGGGAAACAACCCAGACCGCCAGCUAAGGUCCCAAAGUCAUGGUUAAGUGGGAAACGAUGUGGGAAGGCCCAGACAGCCAGGAUGUUGGCUUAGAAGCAGCCAUCAUUUAAAGAAAGCGUAAUAGCUCACUGGUCGAGUCGGCCUGCGCGGAAGAUGUAACGGGGCUAAACCAUGCACCGAAGCUGCGGCAGCGACGCUUAUGCGUUGUUGGGUAGGGGAGCGUUCUGUAAGCCUGUGAAGGUGGUGUGAGGUUGCUGGAGGUAUCAGAAGUGCGAAUGCUGACAUAAGUAACGAUAAAGCGGGUGAAAAGCCCGCUCGCCGGAAGACCAAGGGUUCCUGUCCAACGUUAAUCGGGGCAGGGUGAGUCGACCCCUAAGGCGAGGCCGAAAGGCGUAGUCGAUGGGAAACGGGUUAAUAUUCCCGUACUUGGUGUUACUGCGAAGGGGGGACGGAGAAGGCUAUGUUGGCCGGGCGACGGUUGUCCCGGUUUAAGCGUGUAGGUGUGUGUUCCAGGUAAAUCCGGUUCACUUUAACACUGAGGCGUGACGACGAGGCACUACGGUGCUGAAGCAACAAAUGCCCUGCUUCCAGGAAAAGCCUCUAAGCAUCAGGUAACAUCAAAUCGUACCCCAAACCGACACAGGUGGUCAGGUAGAGAAUACCAAGGCGCUUGAGAGAACUCGGGUGAAGGAACUAGGCAAAAUGGUGCCGUAACUUCGGGAGAAGGCACGCUGACACGUAGGUGAAGUGAUUUACUCAUGGAGCUGAAGUCAGUCGAAGAUACCAGCUGGCUGCAACUGUUUAUUAAAAACACAGCACUGUGCAAACACGAAAGUGGACGUAUACGGUGUGACGCCUGCCCGGUGCCGGAAGGUUAAUUGAUGGGGUCAGCGCAAGCGAAGCUCCUGAUCGAAGCCCCGGUAAACGGCGGCCGUAACUAUAACGGUCCUAAGGUAGCGAAAUUCCUUGUCGGGUAAGUUCCGACCUGCACGAAUGGCGUAAUGAUGGCCAGGCUGUCUCCACCCGAGACUCAGUGAAAUUGAACUCGCUGUGAAGAUGCAGUGUACCCGCGGCAAGACGGAAAGACCCCGUGAACCUUUACUAUAGCUUGACACUGAACAUUGAGCCUUGAUGUGUAGGAUAGGUGGGAGGCUUUGAAGUGUGGACGCCAGUCUGCAUGGAGCCGGCCUUGAAAUACCACCCUUUAAUGUUUGAUGUUCUAACGUGGACCCGUGAUCCGGGUUGCGGACAGUGUCUGGUGGGUAGUUUGACUGGGGCGGUCUCCUCCUAAAGAGUAACGGAGGAGCACGAAGGUUGGCUAAUCCUGGUCGGACAUCAGGAGGUUAGUGCAAUGGCAUAAGCCAGCUUGACUGCGAGCGUGACGGCGCGAGCAGGUGCGAAAGCAGGUCAUAGUGAUCCGGUGGUUCUGAAUGGAAGGGCCAUCGCUCAACGGAUAAAAGGUACUCCGGGGAUAACAGGCUGAUACCGCCCAAGAGUUCAUAUCGACGGCGGUGUUUGGCACCUCGAUGUCGGCUCAUCACAUCCUGGGGCUGAAGUAGGUCCCAAGGGUAUGGCUGUUCGCCAUUUAAAGUGGUACGCGAGCUGGGUUUAGAACGUCGUGAGACAGUUCGGUCCCUAUCUGCCGUGGGCGCUGGAGAACUGAGGGGGGCUGCUCCUAGUACGAGAGGACCGGAGUGGACGCAUCACUGGUGUUCGGGUUGUCAUGCCAAUGGCACUGCCCGGUAGCUAAAUGCGGAAGAGAUAAGUGCUGAAAGCAUCUAAGCACGAAACUUGCCCCGAGAUGAGUUCUCCCUGAGACUUAGAGUCUCCUGAAGGAACGUUGAAGACGACGACGUUGAUAGGCCGGGUGUGUAAGCGCAGCGAUGCGUUGAGCUAACCGGUACUAAUGAACCGUGAGGCUUAACCUUACAACGCCGAAG